AUCCUUGUGCACGGGCAUUAUCUGCGCCAGUGAGGAUUUAUCCGAGGCCAGAUUAUUGCUAAUUGCAAACUAUACCAAUAUACGUCUUUACGACCCUUGUUAAAAGGGUCGGAAAGCAAUAUUUGGAAAGGGGCAACCCU
rfam:Rhizophagus irregularis DAOM 181602 strain DAOM 197198 GLOINscaffold_18321_Cont18259, whole genome shotgun sequence.